rnacentral:rRNA from 1 species
UACAGAGGGUGCGAGCGUUAAUCGGAAUUACUGGGCGUAAAGCGUGCGCAGGCGGCUAUGCAAGACAGAUGUGAAAUCCCCGGGCUCAACCUGGGAACUGCAUUUGUGACUGCAUGGCUAGAGUACGGUAGAGGGGGAUGGAAUUCCGCGUGUAGCAGUGAAAUGCGUAGAUAUGCGGAGGAACACCGAUGGCGAAGGCAAUCCCCUGGACCUGUACUGACGCUCAUGCACGAAAGCGUGGGGAGCAAACGGG